rnacentral:rRNA from 1 species
UGGCUGUAGCAGGCUGUCUAGGGGAUGGCUGCUCCACUUUUGCACCCUGCUCUAGGAGGAUGAGGUGGCGGUGGAGUAGGAGGUUGAGGAGGCGGUGACCGUGGUGGCGAUGACGCAUUCGGAUGUCUGCCCUAUCAACUUUCGAUGUUACUUUCUGUGCCUACCAUGGUGACCACGGGUAACGGGGAAUCAGGGUUCGAUUCCGGAGAGGGAGCCUGAGAAACGACUACCACAUCCAAGGAAGACAGCAUGUGUGCAAAUUACCCACUCCUGACGCGGGGAGGUAGUGA